rnacentral:RNase_P_RNA from 1 species
GGAGUAGAACAAAUGACCGCUGCCCGGCCUUAAAGGCCGGGGGGAGGAAAGUCCGGGCUCCGCAGGACAAGGUGCUGGGUAACGCCCAGUCCCGGCGACGGGAAGGAAAGUGCCACAGAAAGUAUACCGCCAUGUCAGAUAGACAAUAUCCGGCAAGGUAAGGGUGAAAUGGUGAGGUAAGAGCUCACCAGUCCUGUCGGUGACGGCAGGAGCUAGGUAAACCCCACCUGGAGCAAGACCAAAUAGGGGGACGUUUUAGGGUUGUCCGCCCGAGUCCCCGGGUAGGUCGCUUGAUCCCGCUGGCGACAACGGGAUUAGAUGAAUGGUCAUUGUCCCGAAUGCGGGUGACUGCAUCGGGAAACAGAACCCGGCUUAUGGGCUACUCCGGCA